UGGGAUUACCUUAGUAACGGCGAGUGAAGCGGUAAAAGCUCAAAUUUGAAAUCUGGUACUUUCAGUGCCCGAGUUGUAAUUUGUAGAAUUUGUCUUUGAUUAGGUCCUUGUCUAUGUUCCUUGGAACAGGACGUCAUAGAGGGUGAGAAUCCCGUUUGGCGAGGAUACCUUUUCUCUGUAAGACUUUUUCGAAGAGUCGAGUUGUUUGGGAAUGCAGCUCAAAGUGGGUGGUAAAUUCCAUCUAAAGCUAAAUAUUGGCGAGAGACCGAUAGCGAACAAGUACAGUGAUGGAAAGAUGAAAAGAACUUUGAAAAGAGAGUGAAAAAGUACGUGAAAUUGUUGAAAGGGAAGGGCAUUUGAUCAGACAUGGUGUUUUUUGCAUGCACUCGCCUCUCGUGGGCUUGGGCCUCUCAAAAAUUUCACUGGGCCAACAUCAAUUCUGGCAGUAGGAUAAAUCAUUAAGAAUGUAGCUACCUCGGUAGUGUUAUAGCUUAUUGGAAUACUGCUAGCUGGGAUUGAGGACUGCGCUUCGGCAAGGAUGUUGGCAUA
rnacentral:rRNA from 1 species